rnacentral:lncRNA from 1 species
UAACAGCACCCGAGGCCUUUUGUACAAAAUUUAUUCGCAAAUCCGCAUCUUUUCGUAUUAAAUUAUAUUUUUAAUUUCUUUUUAAAAUCUGGCGAAACAAAGAAAAAAGAAAGAGAACCUUUUACCCAGAAAAAUUAAAAAAAAGAGAGAACAAGUGUUGCCGGCUCAAGCGGAUCUCGCCUCAGUCUAUUUCUUCUUCCUCUUUCCCAAGCUCUCAACUUCCUAUCUCUGUUUGCGCGAAAGUGGCAGUCUCGUUUCACCCGACCACUUCUACUCCAAGCUUUCAGCCCCAAGCUAGACUCGCUCCUCCUCUCGGGUUCUCUCCCGCAGGGGUUAAAGCUUCAAUAUUUAGGUACUCACUGCCUCUCUUGUUAGAUAAUUUGGUCUUCUUUUCUGCGACGUAUCAAUAAUUAAUUUGCUUUUUUAUUUUAUUUUUUAUUUUAUAACGAAACUAAGGAACUUUUGGAACUAAAAACCCCAGCUUGACGGUUGAGUUCUACGGCAAAGUUAAUAAGAGCCUUCAAUCCAGAUAACUAAAUUAUGGGCUUGUAUACAUUUGUUUAAUCCUUCCGAAUUUUGAUAGUUUUGUGCCAAAAGUUAGCGUAUAUCCAAUAUAUUGGUUGUAAAUAUCCUAGUGCAGCUAACUCCAAUAUGGUGUUUGAAUGAGGUUCUUGUGUGCUGGUUUCCUAAAAAUUUAUCUGUUUGAAUUUAGGGCAACGCGGCAACAAUGAGAUUGUUUAUUUGUUUGUUGUAUUAUCUAAUAUAAUGAGAUUGUUUAUUUAUUUGUUUGUUGUAUCAUCUUAGACUUGUUUCUUUGUUCCUCAAUGAAGUAUCGUUGAGAGACUGCAAGGAUGUGGCUGAUUACAGCCUAUAAUCACAAAAUAAAAACUGAGGCUGGCUUGUUUCUGUUGUCUGGUAAAAAUUAAAUGUUUGUUCUAUUUUUGACAUGCCAUCUAAUUUGUUGUAUUCUUCCCUUCUUUGGUAUGAAGCCUUCUUUAGUCUACUAUUUUUCAGGAAAAUAAAUAUGCUCAAUUUGGUUUGAUUCUUUUGAAAUAAACAGAAUAAGUUACAAUUUAGCAUGUUAACUUUUUUUUAUCUGAGAGACUUGUGGAAUGCUUUAGUAAUUCAUUACAGUUAAUUUCAUAUGAAUUGGACAUACAGUUUGUUGACCUAGAAGGUUAUAGGUACAUGUUAUAAAAUUAGAUAUGAAACACAUCUAGGGAUGGCCCUUUAUUUUGUGUAUCACCAGCAAGGAGGCUUGCAGUCCACUCAUGCUGAUUAUUUGAACCAAUUUCCUUUUACAUCUCUCUUGAAGCUUUCUUCUUUGUGUUUUUUAUCCAAAUAUUUCAAAUGAUCCUGUGCAUUUAGUAUUUGAUUUCUAUUGUCAAUUAGUACUAUUUGUAGUAGUGGUCCUUAUAUAUCGUAUUAACAAUCGAAAGAUGGUCGAAAGAAAAAAUCUCUAUUUGACAGGGCUUCUUCCUAUACCUAUGAAUUUCAUUGGACCAGAAAUGAUACAUUGGAAGAAUCUUUUGGGUAGCUAGAUACAAAAUAAGAAAUAAAAGUAGAUCAAAUUGACAUCUUAAGUCAACUUUUUUGAGUGGAUUUCAACUUAAUGGAGUUUUAGUGGAAUCCCAUUUUGAUUGUGUUUCUCUAAGAAAUCUUCUGUUUUCUGGGAAUGUAGUACCGGGAACGUGUUAUCUUCAUUUGGCAGAAUAUAGAGGAAGAGUUCAGAUUUUGGCAACAAUGCUGAUGUAGUACAGCCCGUAGGUAUUAGAUUAAGCACUUAAACAAUCGAACAGAGAAGAAUAUAAGAGAUCGAAGAGAAGAAAUAUAGAUCGAAAAGACGAGAUAAAGGGCAGAAACAGUAGAACAAAGAUGAAUAUCGGAAAUCGAGGAGAAGAAAAUAUAGACCGAAGGGACAAAAUCAGAGAGUUCUAGGAAAAGGUUUACUCAACAUUCAAAUCUGAAUUUUAAAGAACUAAAUGGGGUUAUUUAUAGCAAACUAAAACCUAUAAAUAAUAGGAUAAAAACCCCUUGCUUAAACAGAAAUCCUAAUUGACCAAAAAAAAAAACAGAAAUCCUAACCCAAAUAAAAUAGGAAACUUAAAACUAGAAAUAUGGAAAUCUGGAAAAGUAGAAAUCCUACUAGUAAUUGGAAAACUAGAGAAUCUAGGAAACAAACAAAUACAUUAGGAAACUAAAUAAAUUUAGGUCCUACGCAUCCUGCAUCAAAUGCUGUGCCUUGACACUAUUGAUUCUUCCAAAAGGCUUUAUAUAUAUAUAUCAAUGGUCCUCGUGGAGAUGUGAGCUAUCAGAUUUUCAUGAUGAUUAUACUUCUUUCUUGAUAAUUUUUUUCCAUGUUCCAUAUAUCUGAAACUUGCACCAUUUUGCAGCUUACUCCAAGCAUGGCUAUCUAUGCUAUGCAGAGCUUAUAGAGUUCCGUUGGCACCCAUUGUGUGGGCUAUGCCUUUAAUUUAGCAGCCUUUCUUCUUGCAGCUGGAGAAAAGGUAAUAGUACUGAAUCCAAGUUGAUAAAAUCCUUAGUACUAAUGUUCAUCACGAAGGUGAUGAACGCAAGUUUUUUUCUUUUUGCCUCAGAAGUUAAUACAGCUAAAUAGUGCUGUGAUGAUGUGGUAUAAUGUGGGGGAAUCUAAUUUUCUGUAGAAAAUGACUGAUGAUGGCCUUUCAUGUCCAUUUUGUUGCUAUCUGAGCUCUUCUCACACAUGCUAUUUAGCAACCCCUGUACAUUAAUGAUUUGAUGCAUUAUCUUCAUGUUCGAUGUGACUUAAAAGGAUUGUUGCUUUGAUCUAUUGAAUAAAAAUAAUAUAUAUUAAAAAAUUCAAAUAUAUUAUAUAGUGUCCGAACUUUUUAGUUGUAACUUGCGAAAAAAUUUCCGAAUAAAACAUGUACAUAUUUUAUUCGUAUUUUUCCCGUUCCAUAAUUUACUUACUAUGAAAGAAUGUGAGAGGCUAAGGUUAUUUCUUACUUGUUGUAAAAAAAAAAUGCAAGAUGGUGAAUCCAUCUUGUAUUAUAUUUGCGUAAAAGAAUUAGUUAUUAGUUUAGGCACUGAAUCCAUCAAACACUGGCUAAAUAUGUAUAUGGUUUAACAGAUACUGCUUUGUUAUGUAAUGGAACUAUUUUCAUUACUUUGAUUAAUUCUUUCUUGUGACGCUUAGGACUAGAAGUUAUACCAUUAAGCUUUCGCUUAGCAUAUCAUCUCUCUCUUCCUUUGUAUGCUAAGGUUUAGGAUCAUUAUAAUCGAAGUAUUUUGGUCUCAUCUCUUGGUUUUUGUUGCUGUUGUUGCAUUUCAGAAUUUUUGAGGGUUUUGAUACGAGAUGGUGAACGCCACUAAAGGAUUGUUCGUCUCUUGGUAAGAUAAUUGUAUGAACUUUCUGUUGUGCAUUUCUUAAUUUUACGAAAACAAGCAUGGGUUUCGAGGAUAUUUGGUUGCGGUUCCUCCUCUCCUUCCCAUAUUAUAAAACUAUGUCAAAACAUCAUAACGAAAAUAUGAGAAGUUUAACAUUUUGUAUUGCUGAUUGUCAUUUGGUUUGACAGCUUUUCUCUUUUGGGUGUUAGUCUUGACCUUUUUUGUACUGGUAGCUCCAAUGGAGGGUAUGGUCAUCACAGAUUGACAAUAAUGUUUUUGAGUUGAAAGUGAGGCCUUGAUUAUGAAGCUUCUGUGGCUUGUGUAAAUUCUAUGAUACAAAGAGCAUCCACCAAUAGAUUUUGAUUUAUCUAGGCAUUCAUUGCCUGUUGACUUGAUCCAGCAGUUCCUAAAAGAGUAGUUUGAGUUGCUUCUUUUUCCCUCGUCAAGCUCUCUUUGUUUCCGAAACCAACCAUUUGUAACUCUCUUGUGCAGCGACAUACCUAUGGCGCAAUUCAUCAUCAAUUACAACAAUACACUGCCCCCUUCACAGCAAUUCAUAAUACAUGUCUUGGAUAGUACUCACCUGUUUGUGCAGCCCCAUGCAGCUGAAAUGAUAAGAAGCGCCAUUUCCGAAUUUAGAGAUCAGAAUUCUUAUGAGAAGCCUACUUGAAUCCUUUAGAUUUAGAGACCAAAUUGGUCACAUUGUAUUUGUAUCUUGGUUUAUUGUGUCCAUGUAUCAAAUCUCUCUUCCAGCUCUUUGUCAAGUGUAGCUCUUAUUUGAACACAUUGAAGUGAGCCACAGAGCUUUUUGAAAAAAAUUGGUUGACGUUCUAAACUGGCUGUGCAAGGAUAAUGGGUUCUUUUCCUUCGCUUGCUUGUGAAUCUAAUGAGAUUGGAUGAUUUAAUUCUGAAC